rnacentral:tRNA from 1 species
GAGGUUGUAGCUCAGUGGUUGAGUGCUUACCUGGAAUGCAUGAGGCACUGGGUUCGAUCCUUAGCACCACA